GAUGAACGCUGGCGGCGUGCCUAAUACAUGCAAGUCGAGCGAACAGACGAGGAGCUUGCUCCUCUGACGUUAGCGGCGGACGGGUGAGUAACACGUGGAUAACCUACCUAUAAGACUGGGAUAACUUCGGGAAACCGGCGCUAAUACCGGAUAAUAUAUUGAACCGCAUGGUUCAAUAGUGAAAGACGGUUUUGCUGUCACUUAUAGAUGGAUCCGCUCCGCAUUAGCUAUUUGGUAAGGUAACGGCUUACCAAGGCAACGAUGCGUAGCCGACCUGAUAGGGUGAUCGGCCACACUUGAACAGAGACACGUUCCAGACUCCUACGAGAGGCAGCAGUAGGGAAUCUUCCACAAUGAGCGAAAGCCUGACGGAGCAACGCCGCGUGAGUGAGGAAGGUCUUCGGAUCAUAAAACUCUGUUAUUAUGGAAGAACAAAUGUGUAAGUAACUAUGCACGUCUGUGCUGUACCUAAUCAGAGAGCCACGGUUAACUACGGG
rnacentral:rRNA from 1 species